UACCGUGGGAAAAUCUGAGCCAAAGUGUCCCGAGGACACAUUUUCCCACUUGACUCUCCUCUGGACUUUCUCACUGUUCUGUUUUCUUUCGUUUCUUUCAUUGAACUGUUGACUUGCUUUGUUUUCUGGUGAUUUGCAGGUUCACGCAGGUAGUAGAAGAAGCUAGAAAAAGCUGGAGGUGAAGAGGAAGAAGGAGCAGAACAAGAAGUCAAAGGAGAAGAAUCUGACUGGGAACCUUGGCGCUAGAGUGCCGUGUGAAGGCGGCAGGACGGUCGGGAACCAAGAGGUGAACCUCCGGCUAGGCGAAAAUACCCAACAGUGGUAUCAGAGCCAUGGUAACCUAGCCGGGGCACCCUCCGACCGCACCUCCUUCACCCCGCCGCCCCUUCGGGCUGCGCCGAUUCGCUCCCGACGAGCAAGGAUAAAGGUAGGACCGGUCUCUCCCCUUCCUGGGAGAGACGGCUCAGGUAAAGUGGCUGGUGACUCUGAACUCCCUAGUGUUAGGGUUGGUUUUCUGCUUUGGUGUGUGAGCUUUGUUCAUGUGCACUCUGUUCUAGUCUAAGUGCUCUCUGCGCUGGUGUGCCUACUCUGGCUUCUUGUGUGCGCUCUGCUCUAGUUUCUGUGAGCUAUGCUCUGAUGUGAUUGCUCUCUGCUCUGGCGAGACUACUCUGUUCUGCUCUGGUGUUGUGUUCUCUGGUCUGGUCAUAGCGUUCUAUGUUCUGGUAUCUUGCGAUCCUGUUGUCUCUGUUGUUUCUGUGCUUCCGCGUUGCUGUGUGUGCUUUCUAUUGUUAACCCUUGGCAUUCAAGGCCUGUGAUAGGACUCUUUUGUGACGGUCCAGUUCGUCUGGAUUCCCUUUAAAGGGUCUCCUCGUGCGAGUACUCUGGAUAGCAAAAGAGAAAGGGUUGACUUUUAGAUCUUUGCUUUUGGUGUGUUUAGCUCUGCUCUGCUGCUCUACUCUAGUGUGUGCGGUUCUGCUCUGUGGUCUGACUGACCUGUGAGAAAGUGUGUUUGUUUAAAGUGUUGCUUUUGCUUGAAUCAUGAAUAAUGAGCAUAUGGUUCUUUUUGAUGGAAGGGAUGUUGUGUUUAAAGAACAAAUUUUUCCAUGUUUGCUUGAAUCCUCACAAUCUGCUGCUCCAAGUGAGGUGGAGAAACUGAAACCCUUUCUUCAAGAAAGGUAUGAGUUUAUGUGUACCCCCUCUAUCCAUUUUGAGGUGGAUCCUGAACCUAAGGUGCAGCCUGAACCUGAAAUUCUGCAUGAUAAAUGUUUGCCAGCUGCUAAACUGGAAUCCUGCGUGAAAAUUUUGAAAAUUGGUCGUUGGCUGAGCUUUACUCUAUGUUGGUAUGUCACGAGUUCUGCUCUGAGUUUGAGCUCUGCUCUGCUCUACGUGUCUACUCUGAGCUCUGCUCUUAGUCUGUUCCGUGCUCUGUUGUGUACUGUGUCGAGCUCUGCUCUGUAUGUUUUUGUCUCUACUCUGUGUGUUGAGCUCUGUGUUCUGGUCUGUUGUCCUCUGGUCUGCUCUGUGUCUUCGUGUUUUGAGCUCCGCUCUGUCUAGUUGAGCUCUGCUCUGAGUUUGUUUUGUGACUUUGUGUGUGCCUUGUGAGUCUGAGCUCCGUGCUCUGCUCUGUGAGUCUGCUUGCUCUGUGUUCUGUGUUAUGUCUGUUACUCUGCUCUGCCCCAUGUUUGUGUGUUCUGCAUGUGUUUUCUUUUGCUCUGAGUGUCUUAUCUGUUGUGAGCUCUGCUCUGGUCUUUCUGUUUGCUCUGCUUUGUAUGUUUUGCCACUGCAUGUGUGUGUGGUCUGUUGAGUCUUCAAUGAUAACCCUUUGGGUUUGAGAAUGUGGUUAUUACCUUUGGGUUGGUCUCUGUGGUGUAGAGACUGAGUUAAAUAUGUAUAAUAUUUUUCUCACCCUCUAUUGUCUUGUCUUUGUGAUAGGAUGAUAGUAAAAAUGGCUGUGAUGAUAAAGCUUGAAUCAAAGGCUGGCUCUUCCCUGGUGACUUAAUGAUCAUUGUGCCAAAGGUGGAAUGUGGAGCGUUGGCCCAACUAUCACUUAAUCCCCCCCCAACGCCCCAAGCCCAAGCCCAUCCCCUUUACACCCUAAGUCCAAAUCAGCCCCCCCCAUUUCAUCACUCCCCUGCGCCGCUCCUCUCUCUCCCCCCCCGAGACCCUUGAUCUGCUGAUCUCUCGAGCUUCCCCCCACCAUUAAUGGCUGCCCCAUUUUGUCUUCCCACCUGCCUUUUGCUCGACCUCUAUUAAUUCCCGCUGUAUUGGCUUUCCAUUUGAGGGAGUUUUACACACUGAUUGACCGGAAGGCUCUGCUAUUCCUUCCCGAAGUGUCGCCGGAUUCCUGUUGAUGGUUUCCUGAUUGGUGACUGUGUGUGUGAACCUCGCUCCGAUUGAUUGCGUGUAUCGCCGGAUUCCUGACCGUUGGAUUCCUGUUUGGUGAUACACUGUGGGUUUGAUGGCCGUUCAACUGAGAUCUUGAGUGCCGAUUGUUCUCCAUGUUUCCCUGAGCCUUGAUCAUUGAGCUGCCGGAAGAAGUCGUGCCUACCGUGGGAAAAUCUGAGCCAAAGUGUCCCGAGGACACAUUUUCCCACUUGACUCUCCUAUGGACUUUCUCACUGUUCUGUUUUCUUUCGUUUCUUUCAUUGAACUGUUGACUUGCUUUGUUUUCUGGUGAUUUGCAGGUUCACGCAGGUAGUAGAAGAAGCUAGAAAAAGCUGGAGGUGAAGAGGAAGAAGGAGCAGAACAAGAAGUCAAAGGAGAAGAAUCUGACUGGGAACCUUGGCGCUAGAGUGCCGUGUGAAGGCGGCAGGACGGUCGGGAACCAAG
rnacentral:lncRNA from 1 species